ensembl:misc_RNA Metazoa_SRP Metazoan signal recognition particle RNA
GCUGGGCAUGGUGGCGCAUGCCUGUAAUCCCAGCUACUUGGGAGGCUGAGCUGGGAGAAUCGCUUCAACCUAGGAGGCAGAGGUUGCAGUGAGCCAAGAUCAUGCCACUGCACUCCGGCCUGGGUGAUAGAGUGAGACUCCAUCUCAA